GACGAACGCUGGCGGCGUGCUUAACACAUGCAAGUCGAACGAAGAGCGAUGGAAGCUUGCUUCUAUCAAUCUUAGUGGCGAACGGGUGAGUAACGCGUAAUCAACCUGCCCUUCAGGGGGGGACAACAGUUGGAAACGACUGCUAAUACCGCAUACGAUCUAAUCUCGGCAUCGAGGAUAGAUGAAAGGUGGCCUCUACAUGUAAGCUAUCACUGAAGGAGGGGAUUGCGUCUGAUUAGCUAGUUGGAGGGGUAACGGCCCACCAAGGCGAUGAUCAGUAGCCGGUCUGAGAGGAUGAACGGCCACAUUGGGACUGAGACACGGCCCAGACUCCUACGGGAGGCAGCAGUGAGGAAUCUUCCGCAAUGGACGAAAGUCUGACGGAGCAACGCCGCGUGAGUGAUGACGGCCUUCGGGUUGUAAAGCUCUGUUAAUCGGGACGAAAGGCCUUCUUGCGAAUAGUGAGAAGGAUUGACGGUACCGGAAUAGAAAGCCACGGCUAACUACGUG
rnacentral:rRNA from 1 species